AGGUGUCCGCUGCGAAAUGGGAUGCCUAGUGCCUAUGCCUUGCUUCCCCCCCGCCCAUCUAUGAUGGGGGCCAUGGCAUAGGCACGCCCCGGUCGGUGGGUCCGGUGGUCGGUCCGACGGUCUCCGACCGUCGAUCCGAUCACCGAUCCGUCGGCCACGGUCCGGUGGGUUGGUAGUGCUGUGUUGAGCUUUUUCGAGGGGAGAGGGCCGGUUUGUCUCGGAUUUAGAUUUUUCCAACGUAUUCGAAGGGCAAGCGUGAACAUGGCUUCGGUUGUGGGAUCGUGAGAACGGAGGAUACCGCGGUCGGAUCAAAAAUUUGAGUUUUAGCCUCUCGGGUUAGAGCAACACUGUCUUUACUCUCUCAUUUGGCCGUUGAUGGAGAUUAUUCGUUAUUCUCCAUCAUGUCCCGUCGGUAAUUUUUCCCGUUGGUCUGGUGGGCUAGUAGUGCUGUGUUGAGCUUUUUCGAGGGGAGAGGGSCUGUGUUGAGCUUUUUCGAGGGGAGAGGGCCGGUUUGUCUCGGAUUUAGAUUUUUCCAACGUAUUCGAAGGGCAAGCGUGAACACGGCUUCGGUUGUGGGAUCGUGAGAACGGAGGAUACAGCGGUUGGGUCAAGAUUCGAGUUUUAGCCUCUCGGGUUAGAGCAACACUGUCUUUACUCUCUCAUUUGGCCGUUGAUGGAGAUUAUUCGUUAUUCUCCGUCGUGUCCCGUCGGUAAUUUUUUUCGUUGGUCUGGUGGGCUAGUAGUGCUGUGUUGAGCUUUUUCGAGGGGAGAGGGCCGGUUUGUCUCGGAUUUAGAUUUUUCCAACGUAUUCGAAGGGCAAGCGUGAACACGGCUUCGGUUGUGGGAUCGUGAGAACGGAGGAUACCGCGGUUGGGUCAAGAUUCAAGUUUUAGCCUCUCGGGUUAGAGCAACACUGUCUUUACUCUCUCAUUUGGCCGUUAAAAACAGAUGAUUCAUUAUGCUCCAUAUCAUAACAUCCCGAAAAAAAUGCGGAAGAACUAGCAUGCUUCGGCUUGUGCUAACUUGAUGCAUCAAAAGGUUUGUUGCGGUGGGUUGGGCGUAAUGGAGAAUCGUUGAUUUUUGAAAAUCUUGUCCCUGUCCCUAUAAAGGUUAUAUUGUCCCUCGGAUUGUGUGUUUCUUCAUGUGAAGCGGUGCUGGUGUGGUCUUACUCGAUGUUUCCUCAUGCUCAACGGUUCUAGUAAUCGUUGGGUUGUGGUUCGUUUGGUUGGGUCAUCAUCAAGUGUACGCAACUCACGUGUGAGUGGUGGUUGGACGGCAUGGGUUUGCAAGCUCCUUGCUCAGCGCAACGAAUUGUAAGCUCUCCAUCCUUUUCAUAGUCUUCCCCAAGCAUGGUCAUUUGCCUUGUGGGUAAAGAUCGGUAUCCUGUGUUUUUUACCAAUUGAACGGCAUUCGAUUGUUUUCGUUUCUCUAUUCGCCCGGUUCCCUUAGGGGUGUUGGGUGGACGAUAGGCUGACCUCGUGUUCCAGGUACAUCUCGCAUUUUUGUGUGGUUACCGUGGCCCAUGGGGUUAUGCUUGUUCUCUUGGAUGCGGAUCGUUAGUUGUGGGCGAGGGGUUUUACGACCUCCAUUCGUCCAAGCUAUUAUGCAUUUGUCAAUUGACACGAACGACUGCUGCACUCGUCUUGGCUUUUACAGUUGAAUGGCUGUACAAUGUCCAUGCGAGUGUCGGUGUCGUGAAAGAAUGC
rnacentral:misc_RNA from 1 species